rnacentral:rRNA from 1 species
ACUACGGGAGGCUGCAGUGAGGAAUAUUGGUCAAUGGGCGCGAGCCUGAACCAGCCAAGUAGCGUGAAGGAUGACUGCCCUACGGGUUGUAAACCUCUUUUAUAAGGGAAUAAAGUGUGGGACGUGUCCUGUUUUGUAUGUACCUUAUGAAUAAGGAUCGGCUAACUCCGUGCCAGCAGCCGCGGUAAUACGGGGGAUACGAGCGUUAUCCGGAUUUAUUGGGUUUAAAGGGUGCGUAGGCGGCCUUUUAAGUCAGCGGUGAAAGUCUGGUGCUCAACCAUAGAAGUGCCGUUGAAACUGGGAGGCUUGAGUAUGUUUGAGGCAGGCGGAAUGCGUGGUGUAGCGGUGAAAUGCUUAGAUAUCACGCAGAACCCCGAUUGCGAAGGCAGCCUGCCAAGCCAUGACUGACGCUGAUGCACGAAAGCGUGGGGAUCAAACAGGAUUAGAUACCCUAGUAGUC